rnacentral:rRNA from 1 species
UACGGAGGGUGCAAGCGUUAAUCGGAAUUACUGGGCGUAAAGCGUGCGUAGGCGGUUCGUUAAGUCUGUUGUGAAAGCCCCGGGCUCAACCUGGGAAUGGCAAUGGAUACUGGCGAGCUAGAGUGUGUCAGAGGAUGGUGGAAUUCCCGGUGUAGCGGUGAAAUGCGUAGAGAAUCGGGAGGAACAUCAGUGGCGAAGGCGGCCAUCUGGGACAACACUGACGCUGAGGCACGAAAGCGUGGGGAGCAAACAGG